rnacentral:tRNA from 1 species
CGGGGAGUAGCGCAGCCUGGUAGCGCACCUGCCUUGGGAGCAGGGGGUCGCAGGUUCGAAUCCUGUCUCCCCGACCA